UGAAGAAACAAAAGCAUUUAGCA
rnacentral:piRNA from 1 species